rnacentral:rRNA from 1 species
CCCUGGUUGAUCCUGCCAGUAAUCAUAUGCUUGUCUCAAAGACUAAGCCAUGCAAGUCUCAGUAUAAGCCUAAUUAAGGUGAAACCGCGAAUGGCUCAAUAUAUCAGUUUUGGUUCCUUAGAUCGUACACAGUUACUUGGAUAACUGUGGCAAUUCUAGAGCUAAUACAUGCAAACGUAAUUCUGAACGGGAACGUGAGGAAUGCUUUUAUUAGAUCAAAAACCAAUCGGCGGUCGGCGCUCGCGUCGUCCGUCGCUCUUCGAGAUGACUCUAGAUAACUUUGAGCUGAUCGCACGGUCUAGCACCGGCGACGCAUCUUUCAAAUGUCUGCCUUAUCAACUGUCGAUGGUAGUUUAUGCGACUACCAUGGUUGUCACGGGUAACGGGGAAUCAGGGUUCGAUUCCGGAGAGGGAGCCUGAGAAACGGCUACCACAUCCACGGAAGGCAGCAGGCGCGCAAAUUACCCACUCCCGGCACGGGGAGGUAGUGACGAAAAAUAACGAUACGGGACUCGUCCGAGGCCUCGUGAUCGGAAUGAUUACACUUUAAAUCCUUUAACGAGGAUCCAUUGGAGGGCAAGUCUGGUGCCAGCAGCCGCGGUAAUUCCAGCUCCAAUAGCAUAUACUAAAGUUGUUGCGGUUAAAAAGCUCGUAGUUGAAAUUGUGUCCUGCGGUGUCGGUCUACCGACUGCGGUACGACAGGCACGUCUGCGGGGCUUCUCGCCGGUGCGUCCUUCGCCAUCCGGCGUCGGUCGGCCGCAAGGUCGGCCGCUCGCCGAGGCGGGCCGUCGCGGCUGUUUACUUUGAACAAAUUAGAGUGCUCAAAGCGGGCUAAGUUUUGCCUGAAUAUUGUACGCAUGGAAUAAUAGAAUAGGACCUCGGUUCUGUUUUGUUGGCUUUCUGAUACCAGAGGUAAUGAUUAAUAGGGACAACUGGGGGCAUUCGUAUUGCGACGUUAGAGGUGAAAUUCUUGGAUCGUCGCAAGACGGACUAAAGCGAAAGCAUUUGCCAAAGGUGUUUUCAUUAAUCAAGAACGAAAGUUAGAGGUUCGAAGGCGAUUAGAUACCGCUGUAGUUCUAACCAUAAAUGAUGCCAGCCAGCGAUCCGCCGAAGUUUCAUUAUUUUAACCCGGUGGGCAGCUCCCGGGAAACCAAAGCUUUCGGGCUCCGGGGGGAGUAUGGUUGCAAAGCUGAAACUUAAAGGAAUUGACGGAAGGGCACCACCAGGAGUGGAGCCUGCGGCUUAAUUCGACUCAACACGGGAAAACUCACCAGGCCCGGACACUGGAAGGAUUGACGGAUUAACAGCUCUUUCUCGAUUCGGUGGGUGGUGGUGCAUGGCCGCUCUUAGUUGGUGGAGCGAUUUGUCAGGUUAAUUCCGGUAACGAACGUAACUCUAGCCUAUUAAAUAGACGUACAACCGGUAUCACGAGGGUCCGCGCGCGUUCGCCGCCUUCGGCGUUCUGCGUCGGGGGCGCGGGCGCGUCGCGGUCUUCACUACCGGCGUACAAUGAAAAUCUUCUUAGAGGGACCGGCGGUAUAUAUAGCCGCACGAGAUUGAGCAAUAGCAGGUCUGUGAUGCCCUUAGAUGUCCUGGGCCGCACGCGCGCUACACUGAAGGGAUCAGCGUGUCCUCCUUGGCUUAACGGCCCGGGUAACCCGAUGAAACCCCUUCGUGAUAGGGAUUGGGGUUUGCAAUUCUCCCCCAUGAACGAGGAAUUCCUAGUAAAAGCGAGUCACCAGCUCGCGUUGAUUGCGUCCCUGCCCUUUGUACACACCGCCCGUCGCUACUACCGAUGGAUGAUUUGGUGAGGUCUUCGGACCGGCGCGCGGAAGCUCCUCGCGGGCCUCUGACGCGCUGGAAAGUUUGACCGAAUUUGAUCAUUUAGAGGAAGUAAAAGUCGUAACAAGGUUUCCGUAGGUGAACCUGCGGAAG